rnacentral:tRNA from 1 species
GAAAAGGUCAGCUAAAUAUUAAGCUUAUGGGCUCAUACCCCAUCCAUGAAAUUUUUUUCUCUUUUCA